rnacentral:rRNA from 1 species
UACGGGGGGAGCAAGCGUUGUUCGGAUUUACUGGGCGUAAAGGGCGCGUAGGCGGCCACCGCAAGUCGACUGUGAAAUCUCCGGGCUUAACCCGGAUAGGUCAGCCGAUACUGCGGGGCUAGAGUGCAGAAGGGGCAACUGGAAUUCUCGGUGUAGCGGUGAAAUGCGCAGAUAUCAGGAGGAACACCAAUGGCGAAGGCAGCUCGCUGGGACGGUACUGACGCUGAGGCGCGAAAGCGUGGGGAGCAAACAGG